rnacentral:rRNA from 1 species
CAGUCGCCGCGGUAAUGCGAAGGGGGCUAGCGUUGCUCGGAAUCACUGGGCGUAAAGGGUGCGUAGGCGGGUCUUUAAGUCAGGGGUGAAAUCCUGGAGCUCAACUCCAGAACUGCCUUUGAUACUGAAGAUCUUGAGUUCGGGAGAGGUGAGUGGAACUGCGAGUGUAGAGGUGAAAUUCGUAGAUAUUCGCAAGAACACCAACGGCGAAAGCACUCUGCUGGGCCGACACUGACACUGAGAGACGAAAGCUAGGGGAGCAAAUGGGAUUAGAUACCCCCGUAGUCCCUGUCUCUUAUAC